CUUUUGCUUUUCCCAUUCUUAAGCUUUUCCCAAAUACGCCAGGGUUCUUUUUCUUCAAACUUCUCUCUCUAGUCUCUAUCACCAUUGAUAUACUGGUGCACUUGUGCCGGUAAGCUUACUUUUUGUUAUAUUUCUCUCAUUUCUUCUUUUUUGUUCUUUGUCCUCGCCGAUCUUCUCUUCUUUCUCUCGUUUUAGUAAAAAAAAAAAUUUUCCUGCUAAAAAUUAGUAGUUAAAGACAUAAAGGCGUAUGUAUAUUGUUGAAAGAAGUCUUGACUCUUGAAUUUGAUGUCCAUUUUCUAUCUCCUUGCUCGGUUAUUGUUUCUGUUUCCUCAUUUAAUUUUGUGCUUGUUUCUGUCUCAUCCUCUAACUUCCUUUUUCGCAUUAUUAUUGCUCAGUGUUUUAUUAUUUUGCUUGUAUUCGUUUUCGUAGAUGGAAGAAAAUGGAAGUAGGGUAAGUGAAGCCUACGAAGGUGGGGGUUCAAAUGAUAGCAUACCUAACACUGAAUGUGUCAGUCUUGAUGAAGCUCCAAAGAAAAGGAAAGUCAUGCAACCUAGAUCUGAUACUUAGAAUCAUUUUGAGAAGUAUAAAGAUCCUAGUACAGCUAAAAGAGCAAAAUGUAAGUAUUGUGAAAAAACUUAUGCAGCUAGGGGUGUUCAAAACCGAACCGAAACCGAAAAUCGAACCGAAACCGAAGCUUAAUGGCUUAUUGGUAUCGGUUUAACGGUUUAACGGACGGGGAACAGAUUGAAUUUUUUUUAUUAACGGCUUAUCGGUUUGGGGGCGGAUUAUUUAAUUUUCUUAAUGGAUAAUCCGUUAACCCGUUAAGAAUAUAUAUAUAUAUAUAUAUAUAAAUUUAAUUUUAUCCAUAUAUAUAUUAAAUAAUCAAAAACCCUUCUUCCACUUCCAGUACUCUAUCUAUUACUAAUUUACUAUUAGACAUUUAGUUAUAAUUUACUAUUCCAGUUAGUUACUAUUAGAUAAUUUUGAUAUCAUGUGUUAUACCCAGUAUUCUCUUCCAUUUCUUCUGAUAGUUAUAAGUUGUUAAUAGGCCCAUCCCUAGAGAUGAUUCUACUGAAAAAUACGCUGGAAUGUAGCUCUAUAUUUCUUCUAUUUAGCUCUCUUCUGAGGUGCCAUAUUCUAUAGACUGGAAUGUAGUCUGCUGAGCAUAGGAAUUUUAUUUUGAUUCACAGCGGUCAGCAAACAAUCCGAUAAACUGCCCGAUAACCGUCCGAUAAGAGCUAAACCGAUACCAAUCCGCCCGAUAUCUUAUCGGGUGGCUAGCGGAUUAUACAUUUAAAAGCCGAUAACCGAUAAGCCAAACUGUUAAGAGUAAAUAACCGCCCAAUCCGCCCGAUAAGCAGCCCUAUUAAUGCAGCUGCUACGAAAGAUAAUGGUACUACAUCAAUGAACAAUCAUCUCACUAAGUGUCCCAAAAUACCCCGUAAAAUAGAAAAUAGUCAAACACAACUAAGUUUUCUACUAGCUUUAAAUGGGGCAAAUGAAGGGGUGCUUACCACUUGGAAAUUGAUCAAGCACUUAGUAGGAGAGCUUUAGCUAGAUGAUAAUUUUGGAUGAACUACCAUUUAGUUUUGUUAAAAAGGAAGGAUUUAAGAAGUUUAUAGGAAUCACAAUACCUCAAUUUCAAAUUCCUUCUCGUAGAACAUUGACAAGAGAUUGUUACGAACUUUAUUGUGAACAAAGACAAAGUUUGAAGAAGUCCUUCAAUGAAGCACGUCCAAAAAUUUGUCUUACAACAGAUACUUGGACUUCUAUACAAAGAACAAACUAUAUGUGUCUUACUGCUCACUUUAUUGACAGCGAUUGGAAAUUGCAUAAAAGGAUAAUAAAUUUUUGUCCUAUCUCUAGUCAUAAGGGUGAUGAUAUGGCGGCGGUUAUUACUAAUUGCUUACUUGAUUGGGGUUUGGAAAAUGUAUUUACUAUAACGGUAGAUAAUGUUAGUUCCAAUGAUGUCACAGUAAGAGAAGUGUCUAAACAAUUGACUACUUGGGGAACUAAUAUAAUGAAUGGUAAACAUCUGCAUGUUAGAUGUAUGGCUUACAUACUUAAUCUCAUUGUACAAGAUGGGUUGAAAGAAAUUGGCAUUUCUAUCAAGAGAGUUAGACAAGCUGUGAGAUACAUUAGGCUAUCUCCCGCUAAGAUUAGAAAGUUUAAAGAAUGUUGUGAAUCUCAAAAGUUAACUUCCAAGAGAACAUUAUGCUUAGAUAUUUCUACUCGAUGGAACUCUACAUACAUGAUGUUAGACACAACACAACAAUUUGAGCUUGCCUUUGACAAAUAUAGUUUCUUUGAUACUAGAUUGUUGCAUCAUCUUCGUACCUAUGUAUGUGAAGAUGGAACUAGUGCAGGUGAUCUCACAAGUGCUGACUGGGAUAAUGUGAGAAUAAUGGUAAAAUUUCUUGAAGCUUUUUAUUUGCUUACUUUGAGGGUCUCUGGUUCUAUUUAUGUCACUUUCAAUGUACAUUUUGUUAAAAUUUAUGAAUUUGAUCUUAUUUUGAAAGAGUGGAUGGAACAUGAAGAUGCUAGUUUGAAAGAAAUGGCAAAAAAAAAAUGAAAGAAAAAUUUGUCAAAUAUUGGGGUGAACCUGAAAAAAUGAACAAUAUGAUCUUUAUUGCAUCAAUUUUGGAUCCCCGUAACAAGCUUGACUAUGUUCCUUUUGCAAUUGUGAGGAUGUUUGGAGAAAAAAAAGGGAAGAAAUUGAUUUUAGAAGUGAAAAAUUAUAUGGAUUCUUUAUUUGAUUAUUAUGUAAAGAAAAAUUCAAAAGGAUCUACAUUUGCUUCAUCUGAAAACACAACAGCUACCGUGAGUGGUUAUGGUAGCUUUUUGAAAAGAGGAACAAUGAGAACGAAAUUGGAAUUUGAGAAACAUAAGGAAGUGACAGGAGGCUUAGGUGCUAAAUCAGAGUUAGAUAGAUAUCUUGCUGAAGAUAUUGAGCCCGAAACGGAUGAGUUUAAAAUCUUAAAGUGGUGGAAAAUCAAUGAGCCUAGAUUUUUCAUUCUUGCAGAGAUGGCUCGUGAUGUGUUAGCCAUUCCUAUUUCAAGUGUUGCAUCAGAAUGUGCAUUCAGUACUAGAGGUCGCAUUCUUGACUCGUUUAGGAGUUCGUUGACGCCUAAACUGGUGCAAGCUCUUAUUUGUUUUCAAGAUUGGCUUAGAAGUGAACCUAUUCCUAUUAAAGUUGAGAAAGACUUAGAGUAUCUAGAACAACUAGAACUUGGUAAUUAUUUUGUGUUUUGCAUUUAUUAUAUUACAAAUAGUUUACUUAACACUGAUGCAUGACAAAGUUUUCUUCAAUAUUUUCCUUAUAUUUGGCAAAUUGUGCAAAAGAUUCAACUAUUAUUGACAUAUAGUUGCAACCUGUGGCAUGUGUGGUAAGUUGAUAACCUUCUGUAUUUGAUGAUAUAACAUUGAUAUAAUUUAUUAUAAAUCAAUUGUAUUUUUGACUUAUAAUUAUGUCUUUUUUGCAAAGGUUUGAUCAUGGCGCCUAAAUGGAACUUACGGAUUAUGUAUCAUCUUCAUAAAUGCUUAGAUCAACAAGUAAAUAGACAAGUAGUAAUAGACAAGUGAUACUGCAGUAAUAACUUGCUAGUGAGCUCUUUUGGUAGACAAGCUGAUGUUGCAGUAGUACUUAAUGUAGUUAUUUUGCUGGUUUUGAGACUUCAGCAGCAUGAAAACUUUCUAACUUCUGGAUUACUCUUUUGGUUAUGUAAUAUUGUUUGUACUAAAUAAUGGUUUCCUACUAGCUGCUCAAGCUAACUUUUGGAUAUAAUGAAUGAAGUUCAUGUGCAAAUUAUCACAUUGGCAUAUUUUUAGAUUUUUGGCAGCAAGGCAGCAUAGAUUCUGGGUUUUUUGUUCUCUCAUGGAUGAAUAUUGGACAUAUGUUGAUGCAUAUUGAAUUUGAUAUGGGUAUUCUGUUUCUUGAUUAUGUGCAAAUUAUCACAUUGGCAUGUGGAUUUAAUAAAUAAACCAGAUGGCUGCUGCUUUUCGAGCUCCUGUUGGUGGUCUGCUGUUCGCUCUAGAAGAAAUGGCAUCUUGGUAUAUUUUGAAAAAUGUACAUGUUUUUAUUUGAUUCUUGGUAAACCAAAAGGUUUUUGG
rnacentral:lncRNA from 1 species